rnacentral:lncRNA from 1 species
GAAAGAAAACAAGAUAUAUGUUGUUGCUGGACUGGUGCGGACAAGAAGAGGAAAUUGUUUAACUUUUUAUUUUUAUUUUUCUUUCCUUACUAUUAGCCUCUUACCGUCAUUGUCCCCUUUUUCUUUUCAUUUUUCUUAAAUUAUUAUUUUUUCUUUUCUUUUUAUAUUUAUUUUUAUUAUUGAUUAAUACUGUUAUUGAUUAAUAUUAUUAUUGAUUGAGUAUUAUCUAUUUAUUAUUAUCAUUACUAUUAGUAUAUAUUAUUAUAUAUAUUAUCAUUACUAUUAUUACUAAUAUUAUUAUUAUUAUUAUUAUUAUUCAUUAGUAUAUUAUUA